CUACGUGCCAGCAGCCGCGGUAAUACGGAAGGUCCAGGCGUUAUCCGGAUUUAUUGGGUUUAAAGGGAGUGUAGGCGGUUUGUUAAGCGUGUUGUGAAAUUUAGGUGCUCAACAUUUAACUUGCAGCGCGAACUGUCAGACUUGAGUACACGCAACGUAUGCGGAAUUCAUGGUGUAGCGGUGAAAUGCUUAGAUAUCAUGAAGAACUCCGAUUGCGAAGGCAGCAUACGGGAGUGUAACUGACGCUUAAGCUCGAAGGUGCGGGUAUCGAACAGGAUUAGAUACCCUGGUAGUCCGCACAGUAAACGAUGGAUGCCCGCUGUUAGCGCCUGGCGUUAGCGGCUAAGCGAAAGCAUUAAGCAUCCCACCUGGGGAGUACGCCGGCAACGGUGAAACUCAAAGGAAUUGACGGGGGCCCGCACAAGCGGAGGAACAUGUGGUUUAAUUCGAUGAUACGCGAGGAACCUUACCCGGGCUUGAAUUGCAGAGGAAUUAUUUAG
rnacentral:rRNA from 1 species